rnacentral:rRNA from 1 species
GUAGUCCACGCCGUAAACGAUGGAUACUAGCUGUUAUCGGUAUCGACCCCGAUAGUAGCGAAGCUAACGCGUUAAGUAUCCCGCCUGUGGAGUACGGCCGCAAGGCUAAAACAUAAAGGAAUUGACGGGGACCCGCACAAGCGGUGGAGCGUGUUGUUUAAUUCGAUGCAAAGCGAAGAACCUUACCAGGGCUUGACAUCCUACUAAUUUCUCCGAAAGGAGAGAGUGUCUUCGGACCGUAGUGACAGGUGCUGCAUGGCCGUCGUCAGCUCGUGUCGUGAGAUGUUUGGUUAAGUCCAUCAACGAGCGCAACCCUUUUGUCCAGUUGUAUUUCUCUGGACAGACUGCCCCGGUAACGGGGAGGAAGGAGGGGAUGAUGUCAGGUCAGUAUUGCCCUUACGUCCUGGGCUACAAACACGCUACAAUGGCCGGUACAAAGGGCUGCCAAAGCGCAAGCUGGAGCAAAUCCCAUCAAAGCCGGUCUCAGUUCGGAUAGCAGGCUGAAACUCGCCUGCUUGAAGCUGGAAUCGCUAGUAACGGUAGGUCAGCAUUACUACCGUGAAUACGUUCCCGGGUCUUGUACACACCGCCCGUCAAACCAUGAAAGUCGCCAAUACCUGACGUCUAGUCUCAGACUGGCCUAAGGUAGGGGAGAUGAUUGGGGUU